AAACGCAGUUGACAGUGAGAGGUUUCUUUUUUUGCUGAGUUCACAAAGAAAUGUCUGUCUAAACCUUUGUUUAUGUAAACCGGUCGGUGUGAUUUUACAGGAGUACAUAGACUUCUGUAUAGUCCGCCAGUGUUGAGGUUCCAUGGUCAGAUAGACUGGAGUUUCUGAAAGGCUGGUAUAUCCUCAUCGGCUCCAUUCUCAAAAUAGAAAUCCAGACAAAGAUUCUGACACAUUACAAUGUCUGCAGCAUCUUUCUUGGGACAGGGACAGUUCUCAUUUUGAUGAGUCAUGGGCUACUUCAAGAGAUACAAUAUUCCCACUCUGACCCUGAGAGGAGCGUUUCGAUACCGGAAUCAUCUACCUGGUGUACCGUUUCUGUGGCUGGAUCGUGCUCGGGCCCUGCCACAAGUAGAUCAAACUGGGAUUGAUUUACUUGUGUUUGGAGUGUUAUCACUCAACCACACAGGUGCAGGAGUUAACAGAAAAGUGAGGCUUAACUGGGAAAACGUAUUUUAUUACCAUAACCAUUUUGUUUAGCUGUUAGUUUUGGAACACAGUAUCAGAGUGCCUGUUCUCCUUGGCCAACAGAGAUGACAUGUAUCCUAUUUUCAAGGACAUACAGCAGAUGAGUUACUUGGUGUGGCUUUUCAGCAGUCUACCUCUACACAUUCAUCACCGAUACCUAAGACACCAGCAAGGUUAGGAUGCAUUAUAGGCAGUGUAUACAGCCAGCAGACAUGAACCCUUACCCAAACUUCAACUGAUUUCUAAGCCUAAUAUUUUGAUUUGCUGUUCAAAUGUGCACUUCUGUUAUUACAUUUCACUUGCUUUUAUUCUCCUUUUUACAAUUCUUUCUACUCAAAAUAUUCAUCAUCAGAACAAUUCUCCUCUUGUUUGUCUUGCAGCAACAGGAGUGGAUCCCAGUGUCGGCUCUGCCUGUGUUCAUGUCGGAGUGCAAAGACCUGCCCACCUCAGCAUGCUACCAGGUCGAGGGUUAUGCUCCGCCAUAACCAGCUGCUUCCCCAAGUGACAUCACAGGGGUUAGAUGUUACCUGUUAAUUUUUUUUUUUCAAUUCUAGAAAUCUGGACCACAAAAGAACCAGUGUUGGGGUCAAUUCAGAAACUCCAAAAGAGUUCACUUGAAUUGAAAUAUAAUUGACCCCACUCUUAAAAGGAACCAAGGCUUGAACACAGGUUGUGUGAAGUAACACUUUCUUUCAGUUCAAAAAUCAACCAAUGUUACUUUUAACUAACCUCUAAAAAGUUUUGUUUUCCCCCCCACUCACAAGAAAGACAGAUCUGAAUCAAUAGACAGCCAUAGUGGACCUUUAUCCAUCUCCUGAAGUUAAAGAUUAGUAAGAAACCUUACCAUGUACAUAACGAUAUGGUUUAGCCCUGUAAAACUGUUAUUGUCCUGGACUUCUAGCCCCAUUUUAAAUCGCAUCCAUCAGCCAACUCUCUAAGCAGUAGCACAGAGCCUGGGGACGAGGUAGGACCUGUUAUGAAUAGUCAGUGUAAGAUGCCUGAAAAUGUACAGAAGUUGAUGACCACAUGAUGAUAGGCACUGAUGAACAUUACUGAUAUUCACCAGCUUUGAAUGUACUGUAAACAUUAAAUAGUGAAUUGUUCAAAGACUUUCCACCAUUCAUUUGAUUAAUAUUGCCUUUCCCUAAACAUAUUUUUCCCUAGCCCAGUAGAUUGUAGCUUUUUAGCUAGUUCCAAAGGACAUUUUGCUUCUAGUUAUGAGCGAGCAUUGAAUCAGGGUAGAUUAGGAUACUGGAAACAGCUUGAGGCGUCACUACAGACCCGGAUUCGAUCCCAGGCUGUGUCACAGCCGGCCAUGACCGGGAGAUGGCACACAAUUGGGCCAACGUCACCCGGGUUAGAGGAGGGUUUGGCCGGCCGGGAUUUCCUUGUCCCAUUGCACUCUAGCGACUCUUUGUAGUGGGCGCCGGGCGCCAGCAAGCUGACUUCGGUCGCCAGCUGGACGGUGUUUCCUCCAACACAUUGGUGCGGCUGGCUUCCGGGUUAAGCGAGCAGUGUGUCAAGAAGCAGUGCGGCUUGACAGGAUCGUGUUUCGAAGGACGCAUGGCUCUCGACAUUCACCUCUGCCGAGUC